rnacentral:lncRNA from 1 species
GGAUUUCAGUGCCCAGCUCUACUGGGACACUCAGCUGCUGAACGACUUCUUAAUGGGUGCCUUUGUCAUUGUCCUCAAGGCUUCCAUCACUGCUUCUGGAUGGUGACUUCAUAUUGCAGUCAUUAUGCAAAAUUCCUUCUUGAUAUGGUUAAAGUGGUUCAUUAGAGAGAGGCAAGGUGAGAGUGUGUUCACCACAUGCCUGCUGCUUUUACAAAUGAGGUAAAAAUGAAUUUCUUGUGAUGCUGAGUACUGAGUUUGGUGUGGAGUCAAAUAAACUCUGCUCUCUGACCCUUGCUAAGAGCUGAGACAUCCAAUGGCCUGGCUCAUGCUGGCCUCAGGGACUCCAGUUAUCCCUCUCUGUGUCCUAGUGAUGGGAAGGAUCUGAUCAUCAACUGUGGGAACAAAAAACAGUAACUAAUGUUUAUUUUCUACUUAGGCUGAGCUCCUGCAAGCUAAUUUACACCUUUAUUCUUCACUUGCUUUCCUGGCAGCAGGAUCUGCAUAUAAAGCUCCUUCCUCUGCACUGCUUUCACCCACAAGUCUGAUUGAAUUGCACAUUGCAGAAUGCAGUGUGUGGAGGGCAUGCACAGCACCAGUGUGAGCAGGUGUCCCCCAUGUUGGAUGAGCUGGUGCAGCUGCAGGAAGAAAAUGACAACCGUGGGGUGUGUGAUUCGUUCCCUGGCUGAUGCCUCUCUGAGCAUGCAAUGGCACUGAGCCACCCGAAAGCAGCAGCGAUGCAGGCG